UGGGGAAUAUUGGACAAUGGGGGCAACCCUGAUCCAGCAAUUCCGCGUGUGUGAAGAAGGCCCGAGGGUUGUAAAGCACUUUCAGUAGCCAAGAUGGGGUCUUACACUAAUAUUGUAAAGAUCUUGACAUUAACUACAGAAGAAGCACCGGCUAACUCCGUGCCAGCAGCCGCGGUAAUACGGAGGGUGCAAGCGUUAAUCGGAAUUACUGGGCGUAAAGAGUACGUAGGCGGCUUUUCAAGUCGGGUGUGAAAUCCCUGAGCUUAACUCAGGAACUGCAUUCGAUACUGAAUCGCUAGAGUAUAUUAGAGGAUAGUGGAAUUUCAAGUGUAGCGGUGAAAUGCGUAGAUAUUUGAAGGAACACCAAUGGCGAAGGCAGCUAUCUGGAAUAAUACUGACGCUGAGGUACGAAAGCGUGGGGAGCAAACAGG
rnacentral:rRNA from 1 species